CAGCUCUGGUUCACUCCAUUUGCUCAAGAUCCUCCAGCAUGGGAGAGUCCUCUGCAGGCACAUAGCGGGUGUACCUGGCUCCUAGGGCACUCUCCCUGAAAGGGAGGAAAGGGGGAUGGUGGUGUUCAGUGUGAUGUAAGAUCAAGAAGAAACUAUGACAGCCACAAGGAUGAAAAGUAAACUGAAAUAUGCUUCCAUCUGGAAAGACAGAGACCUCUGAGGCAUUAUCACAGAUUCACACUUUCAAAGGGGCCUAGAAGAUUUUUUCCCUUUGGAGGGUGCAGAUUCCAACAGUCUCUUUGAAGGAUCUGAAGAGUGAUGUUCCAUCAGGGUGAGGACUGAGCUGCAGCUUUUCCUUCUCACAACAGAAGAAGAACAUGUCAAAUCAAAGACUGUCAAGAUGGAUUUGCAAACUGCUUUGAAAACUCAGUCCAACAAAAUGUUUAUAACAACCUUUACUAACGUAUUUCACCUAUGCACCUAAAUACAUGUUAGAAAUAAUUACAGUAAGCUAACAUGCCAGGGAGCUACUCUCUCCCUUGUCCCUGUCCUGCUGACACAAGAAGAGAAACAAUAGCUAUAACAACAGAAGUAUAAGUAGGUAUUCUAUACCAGUGUUUCUCAACAUCUGGUCCGUGGACCAGCACUCAUCACUGAGAUCUCCCCUAUACAGUUUAGGAAGGCAGAAAGCCAAUCUCAGAUAUCAAAAAGAUUGAAAAAUUAGGGUGACCAGACAGCAAAUGUAAAAAGUCGGUGUGCGGGGUAAUAAGAGCCUAUAUAAGAAAAAGACCCAAAAAUCAGGACUGUCCCUAUAACAUCGGGACAUCUGGUCAUCUUAUGAAAAACAUUGUUCUAUAUAAUAACCACCAACAGAUAUCUGGGACUGUGGUUCAAGUAAACACUGUGGACAAACACAAACUGUAAGAAUAUGCCUUUUACUCAAUUACCCAGUCCUUGUCAAUGAAGUAGACUUGCCUACCUGUGGGGUAGUGAUUAAGGAGAUUAUAACCCUCCUGCCACAGUCUCUAUAAUAUGUCUCUUUAAAAAUGUUGUCUCUCUGAGGAACAUAUUGUGUAUAUCUACAGGAGAAACUGCCUCUGUUGUUGCUGACCAUUUUCAUUGUU